GAGGAAUAUUGGUCAAUGGACGCGAGUCUGAACCAGCCAAGUAGCGUGAAGGAUGACUGCCCUAUGGGUUGUAAACUUCUUUUAUAUGGGAAUAAAGUGGUCCACGUGUGGACUUUUGUAUGUACCACAUGAAUAAGGAUCGGCUAACUCCGUGCCAGCAGCCGCGGUAAUACGGAGGAUCCGAGCGUUAUCCGGAUUUAUUGGGUUUAAAGGGAGCGUAGGCGGAUUGUUAAGUCAGUUGUGAAAGUUUGCGGCUCAACCGUAAAAUUGCAGUUGAUACUGGCAGUCUUGAGUGCAGCAGAGGUGGGCGGAAUUCGUGGUGUAGCGGUGAAAUGCUUAGAUAUCACGAAGAACUCCGAUUGCGAAGGCAGCUCACUGGAGUGUAACUGACGCUGAUGCUCGAAAGUGUGGGUAUCAAAC
rnacentral:rRNA from 1 species